rnacentral:rRNA from 1 species
UACGGAGGAUCCGAGCGUUAUCCGGAUUUAUUGGGUUUAAAGGGUGCGUAGGUGGAUUGGUAAGUCAGUGGUGAAAGUUUGCAGCUUAACUGUAAAAUUGCCGUUGAAACUGCCGGUCUUGAGUGCAAAUGAGGUAGGCGGAAUUUGUGGUGUAGCGGUGAAAUGCAUAGAUAUCACGAGGAACUCCGAUUGCGCAGGCAGCUUACUAAACUACUACUGACGCUCAGGCACGAAGGCGUGGGGAUCAAACAGGAUUAGAUACCCGCGUA